AGCCUUUAGAAGCUGGGAAUAGCCCUCGGCUAGCAAGGAGACCUUGGAGACCUUGGUCCUAUAACCACAAGGAAUUCUGUUCUGCCAAGAGCUGGAAUGACCAAGCAUCGUGUGUGCAAAUAGAGGGCUUCUGCGGAGUCGCAGCAUCAGCAUCACACUCCGUUGUCAUAGUUACACCCUGAAAAGGAAGAUGCCCUGACAAAGACCAGAUUGGCUGUGCCCCUAAGUUUGGAGAAGACUCUUGCGAGUCCCUUGGACUGCAAGGAGAUCCAACC